CUCUCACGUUAUCACUCGUUUCGCUGUUCAGCUUUCAUUUUACUAACCGAUAAAAUGUUCACAACAUUCAGUGCUCAUUCUUUGGCGCUAACUGGCAAGUGGCAACUGCAUAAGGCGACUAUUCAUUAGCUGAUUAAAAUUGGCACGAUCGAAAUUCCUACCUCUCCACUGAAGGGUUUACAGACAUCACAUUUUAUCAUUGCUGUUAGAUACGUCUGUAAAAAGAUGGAAAUUCGUGGGAUAUUGCUUCGUGCGUUCGUCCACGUGUUAAUUUGGUUCUGUAAAAACAAGAAACGAAUUUCAUUGUACAACACUGCAGCGACUGUAUCUUGGACACUGGUUGAAGUCGCCAACGAUCAUCAGAUUCUCUCGUCUUUUCACGCUGUCCAAGAAUUCUUCAAACUCUUCACGAAAGUCAGCUUUGCUCCCAGCUGGGCGGUAGAUGACAAUGAGCGUCAUUUUGUCUCUUGGACUGAUGCUACUCCACCGUGACCGUCCGAUCGUGGCUCGUGAACACCUUUAAACCCUUCAGGACACGCCUCUUUCAUAUCGGAAUCAUCGACGAACCAGCUGCUUUGAAUCAACGCAUUUCAAACCCCGUGCUCAGUUCUCGUGUCGUGGUGCUAAGCAGAGCCCAGAUCCAC